CGGAGGAUGCGAGCGUUAUCCGGAUUUAUUGGGUUUAAAGGGAGCGCAGACGGGAGAUUAAGUCAGUUGUGAAAGUUUGCGGCUCAACCGUAAAUUGCAGUUGAUACUGGUUUCCUUGAGUGCAGUUGAGGCAGGCGGAAUUCGUGGUGUAGCGGUGAAAUGCUUAGAUAUCACGAAGAACCCCGAUUGCGAAGGCAGCUUGCUAAACUGUAACUGACGUUCAUGCUCGAAAGUGUGGGUAUCAAACAGGAUU
rnacentral:rRNA from 1 species